UUAAGCAUAUCAGUAAGCAGAGGAAAAGAAAACAACAGUGAUUCCCUUAGUAACUGCGAGUGAAGCGGGAAAAGCCCAUCGUUUAAUCUCCCUGGGCCAUGCUCAGGGCGAAAUGUGACGGUAUGGAUAGGUUCUCUACUGACAAUGUCUGACCAAAGUCCUCCGGAUUGAGGUGCCAAAGAGGGUGACAGCCCCGUGUGUGGUUGGACGGCGUUGGGUGUGUGGCCGAUUCCGAGAGUCGGGUUGUUUGGGACUGCAACCUAAAGUAGGUGGUAAACUCCACCCAAGGCUAAAUAUUGACACGAAACCGAUAGCGAACAAGUACUGUGAAGGAAAGUUGAAAAGAACUCUGAAAAGAGAGUUAAAAGUACGUGAAACCGCUAACGGGGAAGCGGAAGGCAGUGUCGAGAUUGGGUGAGUGAGUCGCUUCAAGUGUGUGUGCUGAGGUGUAUGCUGGGGUGUGUGUGUUUGAGGCGGCUAGCUUUGCCCGAUGCGUCAGGCCUAUUGGCGUGUGUGUUGGUUGUUACACGUUGACAUGGCUUUCACGACAGCUGCAUUUGAUGUGGUUGUGUGGUUGCGGUUGACGGUCCGCCGCGCGUGCUGAUAUGUGUGUGAUGGAGCGCCGGAGUCUUGUGAAUGUGGGGCGGUCGGUGCGUAGCUGCGCUUGCUGGUGGUCACAUAGUGGCCAGUUGGUGGGUGUGGUUGCGUGUUUUGACGUCCGGUGCUAGUGUCUGACGAGAUACCCAACCUUCCGACCCGUCUUGAAACACGGACCAAGGAGGCAGAAUCUGCAGCGAGUUGGAGGGUGGAAAAACCCGACGGCGCAGUGAAAGCGAGAGAUGAGAUCCCUCGUGUUGUGUGAAUGAUGUGGGGGCGCAUCAUCGGCCAGUUGUCCAUGUGGAGACGAUUGAGUUUGAGCUGCAGGUGCUGGACCCGAAAGAUGGUGAACUAUGCGUGAGCAGGGUGAAGCCAGAGGAAACUCUGGUGGAGGCUCGAAGCGAUUCUGACGUGCAAAUCGAUCGUUUGACUUGCGUAUAGGGGCGAUAGACUAAUCGAACCAUCUAGUAGCUGGUUCCCUUCGAAAUAUCCCUCAGGAUCGCUGAGACAAGUGUGAGACAGUUUCAUCGGGUAGAGCGAAUGAUUAGAGGAAUCGGGGAUAUAUUACUCUCGACCUAUUCUCAAACUUCCAACCGGUGAGAGUGCUGUUUUCUUGAGUGAAAUGGCACGUGGAAUGUGGUUGUCUCAAGUGGGCCAUUUUUGGUAAGCAGAACUGGCGAUGCGGGAUGAACCGAGAGUUGAGCUAAGGUGCCUAACGACACGUUGAUAGAUACCACAAAAGGAGUCGGUCGAUAAAGACAGCAGGGCGGUGGCCCUGAAAGUAGAAUCCCGCUAAGGAGUUGUCUAAAAACUCACCUGCCGAAUCGACCGGCCCUGAAAAUGGAUGGCGCUGAAUCGUGUGACCGAUGCUCGACCUCUACCACGAGAGAUGUUGGUAGGGGGUAGAAGGGCGCGGCGGUAGCAGUAAAGUGCAAAGUGUAAACUUGUAUGGAGCUGCCGUCGGUGUAGAUCUUGGUGGUAGUAGCAAUUAUAAAAGUGAGAACCUUUUAGGCCGAAGUGGAGAAGGGUUCCACGUGAACAGCAGUUGGACGUGGGUUAGUCGGUCCUAAGCGGUUGCCUAACGGCUGUAAAAAGCCAGCUUAUGGUUGCGGUUACGCGACACGUGUGUAGGCUGGGAUCCGCGAAAGGGAAUCAGGUUAAUAUUCCUGAACCGGGCGAUGGAGACGCUGCCGUUGUUGUUGUGUGUGCGCGAGUGAUUGUGUGUGUGCAGUGGUGGCGGUAGCUUAGCGGUAACGCAAGCAAUCUCGGAGACGUUGACAUUUGUGGCGGGGAGAAUUAUCUUUUCUGCAUAACAGGCAAACUACCUUGGAAUCGAGUCGUUCGGAGAUGAGGUAUCACGUCUGGAAGAGCACGGCAACUAUUGCAGUGUCCGCAGUACAGGUGUCGACCCUUGAAAAUCCGAGGGAGUGUAUAAAUUUCAUGUCUGUCCGUACCGAAUCCGCAUCAGGUCUCCAAGGUGAGCAGCCUCUGGCACUGGAACAAUGUAGGUAAGGGAAGUCGGCAAAAUAGAUCCGUAACUUUGGGAAAAGGAUUGGCUCUAAGGGCCGGGCCAAUCGAGCUAGUGUUGCCUAGGCUAGUGGGUGUGUGGCUGGGUCUGUUUGGGGGCGACUCUGGAUGGAUUUGGCUGUGUGCACGCUGGCCAUGGAACGCCUGUGUGAAUGUCGGUCUGCUGCUGGUUGUUCGUAGUGAUGCGGGCGGCCGGUCAGUGGAUGGGGUUCUUUGCGAAUGGCGAGCAUCGGUCAGCUUAGAACUGUUACCAACUAGGGGAAUCCGACUGUUUAAUUAAAACAAAGCAUUGCGAUGGCCGGAAACGGUGUUGACGCAAUGUGAUUUCUGCCCAGUGCUCUGAAUGUCAAAGUGCGGAAACGCAACCAAGCACGGGUAAACGGCGGAAGUAACUAUGACUUUUUAAAGGUAGCCAAAUGCCUCGUCAUCUAAUUAGUGACGCGCAUGAAUGGAUCAACGAGAUUCCCACUGUCCCUACCUACCAUCCAGCGAAACCACAGUCAAGGGAACGGGCUUGACUGAGACAGCGGGGAAAGAAGACCCUGUUGAGCUUGACUCUAGUUUGAUUUUGUGAGAAGACAUGAGGGGUGUAGAAUAGGUGGGAGACUGGGUGACUGGUCGCCGGUGAAAUACCACUACCUUCAUCGUUUUCACACUAAGUCGGUUGCACGGGGAAUACUCGUUUUCUAUGAAGAAGGCGGGUUGAUUCGUGGCUAUAAGACAGACUGAUCUGUUGACCCAUCGCCGAUGACAGAAUCAGAUG
rnacentral:rRNA from 1 species